rnacentral:rRNA from 1 species
AAUAAGCGGAGGAAAAGAAACCAACCGGGAUUGCCUCAGUAACGGCGAGUGAAGCGGCAAGAGCUCAAAUUUGAAAUCUGGCCCCUCCGGGGUCCGAGUUGUAAUUUGCAGAGGAUGCUUCGGGUGCGGCCCCUGUCUAAGUGCCCUGGAACGGGCCGUCAGAGAGGGUGAGAAUCCCGUCUUGGGCAGGGUGCCCGUGCCCGUGUGAAGCUCCUUCGACGAGUCGAGUUGUUUGGGAAUGCAGCUCUAAAUGGGUGGUAAAUUUCAUCUAAAGCUAAAUACCGGCCGGAGACCGAUAGCGCACAAGUAGAGUGAUCGAAAGAUGAAAAGCACUUUGAAAAGAGAGUUAAACAGCACGUGAAAUUGUUGAAAGGGAAGCGCUUGCGACCAGACUCGGCCCCGGGGUUCAGCCAGCACUCGUGCUGGUGUACUUCCCCGGGGGCGGGCCAGCGUCGGUUUGGGCGGCCGGUCAAAGGCCCCAGGAAUGUGUCGCCCUCCGGGGCGUCUUACAGCCUGGGGUGCAAUGCGGCCAGCCCGGACCGAGGAACGCGCUUCGGCACGGACGCUGGCGUAAUGGUCGCAAACGACCCGUCUUGAAACACGGACCAAGGAGUCUAACAUCUACGCGAGUGUUCGGGUGUCAAACCCGUACGCGCAGUGAAAGCGAACGGAGGUGGGAGCCCCGCAAGGGGCGCACCAUCGACCGAUCCUGAUGUCUUCGGAUGGAUUUGAGUAAGAGCGUAGCUGUGGGGACCCGAAAGAUGGUGAACUAUGCCUGAAUAGGGCGAAGCCAGAGGAAACUCUGGUGGAGGCUCGCAGCGGUUCUGACGUGCAAAUCGAUCGUCAAAUUUGGGUAUAGGGGCGAAAGACUAAUCGAACCAUCUGGUAGCUGGUUCCUGCCGAAUUU